rnacentral:rRNA from 1 species
GAUGAACGCUGGCGGCGUGCCUAAUACAUGCAAGUCGAGCGGCAGCAUGUCUCUCACCACCCUUCGGUAGUUGUGACCAUUAAAGUUCACAAAUAACUCGGGGAAGUGGUGAGAGAUGAUGGCGAGCGGCGGACGGCAGAGUAACGCGUAGGAACAUACCCAAACUGAGGGAUAACUGCUCGAAAGAGUAGCUAAUACCGCAUGUGAUCUUCGGAUUAAAGCUUCGGCGGUUUGGGAAUGGCCCUGCGUCCGAUUAGCUGUUGGUGAGGUAAAAAGCUCACCAAGGCGACGAUCGGUAGCUGGUCU